CAGAGGUUUAUUGUUGGUCUUCUGCAAUUAAUAUGGCAUCAUACCAUGGCAGUAGUAGCUAGGUUGAGACACAGGCCCAAACAACGGAUCCACAAACAUUGAGAUAAACCAAAGAGAAUCGAAAGAAACAGUCAUGGUACAACAGCGAAAUUUCUCGUGGCAAUCCAAAGAGUUGAUGCGUCGUGUUACAUGCUCUGCCAAACUCGGAAUUUUAUUAGGCUCAUCGCGCGCGUCAGAGACUGAAGGGAGGAGCUUGAAGAUAUCUUUGGUGGUGAUGGUGGAUCUCUACUGGGGUGGAAGACAUCAAAUAUCUUGAUUUACAAAGAGAAGACAGCUAUUUCAUUGUUGCUAGGGAAUAAGGCUAAGGGUCUGAUAUGGGCAACAGCCGAGGACUUGGCAAGGAAUAGAGGACGAGUCCUUUCUCUAUGAGGAAGUUGGGAUUUAAUUUGGUGAUUUACUUUCAGGGUUUGAAUGUGCAGCGAAGUUUUUCCAAUAGAAUCUGCUGAAAAGGGGUUGGUUCUAAGUAUACUUAAGUGUAUCUAAGUUGCCGUUGGAUUAUAGUCACCUAGUUUCUGUAUAUAAAUUAGUCACAGUUAGUUGAAUUCAGUGAAUGUUGCAGAGUUGGAGGAGAUAAUAGUAUUGGGGUUGGAGGUGAUGCUGGAGCAGUAUAUAGAAUGCAAAAGACUAGUUUGCUUUCGGCUGCAUAAAUUAUUUGCUAGGUUGAAAUGCUAAUCAUAAACAAACCAAUUGGAGUGGAGCUGUACUUCAUACUCUAUAGGAGACUAAUCCUUCACAUCAGCUGAGAUUUGAAGAUGUUAGUCCAAGCUUUUUUCUGGACUUGCUAAUUAACCGAAGGAGGAAUAAUGUGCUGCAAAGCUUCAAAAAUGUACUCAUUCUGCUUUAGUAUUCAAAUGUCAGUCUGUGAAUGGAACUGCAAUUGAGAGGAAUUCCAGCCAUAGUAUUCUAGCAUACGUUGAAGCGCUUGUCAGCUCAGCAGGAACGGCU